GGGAGAGAGGCUGCGCACUACACCCCGCACAGGCCGGCAAUCACAGAGCUCAGAAAGGCAGAAACAGCUUUUACGGCCACAAACGAAGUGGACACUACGUGGCUGGUGACUUGCGCUGACUUCUAUCAGCGGUUCUUCAUCUGCGGUGAGUCAAAUAACAGCAGCUCCAGCACAAGUCUCAUGACGUCCUUGGACUUGAUGAAAAAACAGUGUUUUGCAUCUGGGACGCUGUCCUCAGCUUCUCUCAAAAGAAGGUUCAUAAAGAAGAGCAGGGUCGCUCCGGGGAGGCAGCACGAUGCGGGCAGCGAGUGUCAGCUGUGCAGAUGUUCCAUAUUUUCCCAUUCAGGCAGCAACCAGACUGUUCGCCGGAUUCUGACAGCCUGCCUCCUCUCUUUCAUGGCCCUGCUCGGCUCUGUAUUCAUCGACAUCAACUCCAACUUUGACUUGCUGUACACUACAGAAGCAGCUUACAGCGAGCUGACUUCAUGCAGGACUCUGACUCUCCUGCAACUUGUCAGUAAACUUCAAAAGACGAGACAUUUAUUUUCCAAAAAAGCAGGG
ensembl:lncRNA